rnacentral:rRNA from 1 species
UACGGGAGGCAGCAGGGGGGAAUAUUGCACAAUGGGCGCAAGCCUGAUGCAGCCAUGUCGCGUGUAUGAAGAAGGCCUUCGGGUUGUAAAGUACUUUCAGUCGUGAGGAAGGUGUUAAGGUUAAUAACCUUAGCAAUUGACGUUAGCGACAGAAGAAGCACCGGCUAACUCCGUGCCAGCAGCCGCGGUAAUACGGAGGGUGCGAGCGUUAAUCGGAAUUACUGGGCGUAAAGGGCACGCAGGCGGUUAAUUAAGUUGGAUGUGAAAUCCCCGGGCUUAACCUGGGAAUGGCAUUCAAGACUGGUUAGCUAGAGUCUUGUAGAGGGGGUAGAAUUCCAUGUGUAGCGGUGAAAUGCGUAGAGAUGUGGAGGAAUACCGGUGGCGAAGGCGGCCCCGUGGACAAAGACUGACGCUCAUGUGCGAAAGCGUGGGGAGCAAACAGGGA